rnacentral:rRNA from 1 species
UACGGGGGGGGCAAGCGUUGUUCGGAAUUACUGGGCGUAAAGGGCUCGUAGGCGGCCAACUAAGUCAUACGUGAAAUCCCUCGGCUUAACCGGGGAACUGCGUCUGAUACUGGAUGGCUUGAGAUUGGGAGAGGGAUGCGGAAUUCCAGGUGUAGCGGUGAAAUGCGUAGAUAUCUGGAGGAACACCGGUGGCGAAGGCGGCAUCCUGGACCAACACUGACGCUGAGGAGCGAAAGCGUGGGGAGCGAACAGG